UGGGGAAUAUUGCACAAUGGGCGCAAGCCUGAUGCAGCCAUGCCGCGUGUGUGAAGAAGGCCUUCGGGUUGUACAGUACUUUCAGCGGGGAGGAAGGGAGUAAAGUUAAUACCUUUGCUCAUUGACGGUACCCGCAGAAGAAGCACCGGCUAACUCCGUGCCAGCAGCAGCGGUAAUACGGAGGGUGCAAGCGUUAAUCGGAAUUACUGGGCGUAAAGCGCACGCAGGCGGUUUGUUAAGUCAGAUGUGAAAUCCCCGGGCUCAACCUGGGAACUGCAUCUGUUACUGGCAAGCUUGAGUCUCGUAGAGGGGGGUAGAAUUCCAGGUGUACCGGUGAAAUGCGUAGAGAUCUGGAGGAAUACCGGUGGCGAAGGCGGCCCCCUGGACGAAGACUGACGCUCAGGUGCGAAAGCGUGGGGAGCAAACAGG
rnacentral:rRNA from 1 species